rnacentral:rRNA from 1 species
GAUGAACGCUGGCGGCAUGCUUAACACAUGCCAGUCGAACGGGAAGUGGUGUUUCCAGUGGCGAACGGGUGAGUAACGCGUAAGAACCUGCCCAUGGGAGGGGAACAACAACUGGAAACGGUUGCUAAUACCCCGUAGGCUGAGGAGCAAAAGGAGAAAUCCGCCCAAGGAGGGGCUCGCGUCUGAUUAGCUAGUUGGUGAGGUAAUAGCUUACCAAGGCGAUGAUCAGUAGGUGGUACGAGAGGAUGAUCAGCCACACUGGGACUGAGACACGGCCCAGACUCCUACGGGGGGCAGCGGUGGGGAGUUUGACGCAAUGGGCGAAAGCGUGACGGAGCAAUGCCGCGGUGAGGUGGAUGGCUUACGGGUCGUGAACUUCUUUUCUCGGAGAAGAAACAAUGACGGUAUCUGAGGAAUAAGCAUCGGCUAACUCUGUG